AUGUGUGCGAGCAAACGUGAGGGUGGCAUGGGUUUCCGUGAUAUGAAGGUUUUUAAUCAAGCUUUACUGGCAAAGCAAGGGUGGAGAAUUAUGCUUUUUCCCUCUUCACUUUGUGCUCGGGUCCUCAAGUCUCGAUAUUUUGCUGAUGGGACUAUCCUCAAUGCUACUUGCCCGAGUGGCGCCUCCUAUACUUUCAAAAGCAUUCUGUUCGGCCGGGACUUGUUGCUUGAGGGUCUAAUUUGGCGAGUGGGAGAUGGCUCGAGCAUUAAAAUCCAUCAUGAUAAUUGGAUUCCACGCAGAGGGAGCUUGCCGCCACUGGGCCAAGUGUUCAUGCCAGGCAUAGUGCGGGUGAGCCAUCUUCUCAAUGCAGAAGCUACGGGAUGGUAUCGUCCUAAGCUCGAGGCGAUGUUCUCAGCAGGAGACGUCCAGGAUAUUUUGCAAAUUUGUGUUAGCGGAGCGGGAACAGAUGACAUGCUUGCGUGUAAUUUUACAAAAAACGGUCUUUUUUCAGUCAAGUCAGCUUAUCAUCUAGGCAUGGAAAGGUAG
rnacentral:rRNA from 1 species